AUGUUCCUUGCACAUCCAUUAACUAAACAUAACUAGUUCCUUCCCAACCGGACUUCAUCUGCAAAGAAACAGUAACCUAUACCUGUAAUAAAAGGCUGCCCCUCCUCUAUGUUGUGGCUAGAGGAAACUGUUAUGUUUCCUGAAGAAUUAAUAAAAUAUAUGGCAGACAGUGCCUGAUGAAUACUAAUUCUGCUUUAAAACUCAUUUACCAAAUACAUACGAUUAAAGGACAAUGAAAGGCAUUACUUACAGAGCACAUUUGAGCAUUAUUAAAGUAUCUCAUUUGUUUAUCACAAUAAUUGUAAAAUAAAAUACAUCAAUUGCUACAUAUUUAUAAGUUCAAGAGCUAUUUGGGUCUGCGUGCAUUAUUCUUCCUAAUGUGUAAUGAAGGUUAUAAAGGGAACAAGCAUUUUAAUGUAAAAUACAAGGAAAGCUCCCAAACUGCAUGAAAUUUGAGAAAUAAGACCUUGUGAGUCAGUUGUUUAUCCGUGUUCUUUCCCACCAAAGUACAUGAGUGAUGAUGCAAGCAGGAUGUGGGUGGAUUUGUGCAUAUCUAUGAGCAGGUGCUUUUCAUCUGGAUUCAAUUUCAAGGUAAUUGACACGUGGGGCAGGGUCUGCCCAGGGGAUGGUGGUGGGCAUGGGAGCUGCUUCUGCAAGGUCUCUGGGUUACAGCAACAACCAGAUCCUGGCAGUGUGUUUAAGACCUUCAGCCCAUCCUUCCCCCAAGGUUUCCUGAUGGGCAGCUGGAGAAAGAGCCCCCAAAACCACAAUGCUGAGUGGGGUAGUGGUGCCAGACCUCCUCUCUUGCUGCUGUUUUAGUUGGGGUAGAAGCAGAUGGGACUGAUGUAGGUAUGUCCUGCUUCUUUUUAGUGGUGUGUUUGAAUAGUUUUGACUUUCCUACGAGGAAAAACAUAGUCAACUGGAUUGUGUAUGCAUUUUCUUUAGACCAAGAAACAGCUGCAGCACAGAGCUGCUAAGGAAUCCUGAGCACUUCAGGGGCUGUGAUGUGGGAGGCGGAGGUGGAUGUGUGCAUCCAUGGUGGCUGAUGGAUGGGAAUAACCAUGAGCACCACCAAAAGCGUAAAAAAUGCCGUUGCAUCUAAACCAUGCAGCUGAAACUCUAAACCCCAGGGGACUGAUUCCUUACUGUUGCUCCAAAAUUGCACCAUUUGUUUUCCUCAAAAAAAAAAAAAUCCGCCGGGCACUUGGAUUUAUCUUUAGUGUUUUGAGCGCAUCUUAUCUCCUCCCUGGUUUACAUAUUCCCCUUAAAGCUGUGCCAUUGUACCAGGGCAGCCCCCAGCUGAACUGGGCAUGUAGUCUAUCAUCUGCUAGUGAAGAGAUCAGCCUUCCUCAGGCAAGGGAAAUCAAGGGAAAACAGUGUAGUGUCAAACUGGGUGGCUCCUGAAAUAUAUUUUUUGUGGCCUUGUAGAGCUCUCCUGGGAUCGCCAACUCAUCUACCAACUCCAAGCUGACCUAGUAACUGUAAAAGCUGCUCCUGCAGCAAAAUGCCGUGAUAGGUCUGCAGAGCUGACACAGCCUCUGGACAGGGAUUUAACUUCUUUUUUCCUUACAAGGUUCACUUAUUAGCUCAUUACAGAGUUGUUUCUAUCUUAUGGAGGAAGCCAAAGGCAAGCUUCUUGGUUAUGAUGCAUUAAACUUAAUGACACCCCACCAGCAAUGGUUUGGUCCUGGAUAUGUAGACUUGAAGAGGGAAUAAGAGUCAUUAUUAUGAGCCCAGAAGAAUAAAGACACAACUGUUGCUGUGAUUUCAGAGCCCUGAUCUCUUCCCAUGUAAGCAAAGGGCAUGGAGUGGAAUGAAGUGGUAAUGGCUCUGCUUGUUCAUGCCUAUGAGACUUCCCACACCAUGCUGGUGAUGGCUGGGAGGACAGGGCCUCUCCAUGGCUCGUGCUUCACUCUUGGUUUCUUUUCCCCCACCAUUCAGUCACUACUUUUGUUUCAGCAAGUUUUGAGUUGUGAGAAUUUCUGGAAAGGAGAGGCUGACAUACUACACCAAGUGCUGAUGGAAAUGUUUUGGGUAGAGCGUUUACAAAAUCAAACUGAAUUCAUGAGUCAUCUCUUGUCCCCUGAACAAUAUUUUUCUAGCAAAUGGAGGAUUUAGCAGGGAGACUUAAAAAAAAAAAAAAAAAAAUCCCACCACUUUUACCCCAAACUUCCUAUUCAUCAUUUCGCUGAAUUUGUAGCAACUUGCAGAAAAAAUAUAUUUCAUGCAUAAAUCUAAUUCUAGUAAAGAUGACUCCAGAGUGCACUUGAGGGCCACACGAAGAGGUGAAGCACACUAAAAGAAAGGGGCUCAGCUCAUGGAAAUAUGUUGCUAUUGAGGCAGCUAGCAGCUGGGGUAAGCCCUCUCUGUGGGUCACCCAACAGAUGUGCCCCCGGACAAGCAGCAGGGACAUGUCCAGCCCCCAGUUCUUCAGAGCACCCUGUGUGCAUCCCUAGUAUGGCACACAGUGGGGUCAUCCCCAUGGUGAUGCUGCCAGUGUCAGACAUGGGAAGUUAUAUAUAUGCCAGUUGUUAAGUGGCACUGACACUAAUGGCAUAAUUAGCUGUGUUAAAAGUCAUGUCUGGUAGCAUCUACUUUGUUUCCAGGGUGACUGAAGAGCCAUAAGUAAUGAUGUCCAGCGGUGUUGCCAUAGAGCCAGGGGCGCGGGGCAGAGGGGUUCGUUCAUGGUCAGUGGGCGGAAGGUGUAAAUGUCAAAAGUUUCCAUCCUGCAUUGGUAACAGUGAGACUGCUGAGUCUCACCCUGGUCAGCUGGAUGUGCCAGUAGCUCUGUGCUUAAGGAAACCUGAUCAGUACAAGGUGUGAGGGGUGUUCAGAGCUGCUUGUGCUGCGUGGGGAUGGCACUCGGAGCACAGGUCUGGAGAGGGCCCAUCCAAUUAUGGAGAAAAGCAAGUUUGGGACCAGGCUGGGGUCCUUUGUCCUUGGCUUCCUACAGAUAUGUGACAUGUAAAUGUGCCAGGGGCUUGGUCAGCAGCCCUUUUUCUCCAUAGGUAGGAACCCAGACCUUAGUUCUCAUCUCCAGAGCUGACUAGGAGAUUUCGUAUUGAACACCAUUGAUUUGCCCAAUUGAUUUACCAAAUCCAUUUGCCGUGGAUUCCUCUCCUGCAGCCAAACAGGAGCAGCAUCAUGUGCGUUGGUGGGUAUUGUCACCCUCCUGCCUGUAGCACACCUUGGGAAGGUCCCCAGCCCUGGGGCCAGUGGCGUGGGGCACCAUAGACCCUUGGUUCACUGCUGGGGAUGUGGUUGUGGCUUCCCAGCUCCGUGCAGCCCUGCCAUGUGUUCACCAUGGUGUUGUGCUCAUCCCAAAUCACGGAGGGAUCAACGUUUGUCAUGGAUUGGUGAUGCUGAUUUCUGACGUAUUGCUCUGGAGGAUAUCUGUGUUUUACACCCAUGUGGCAUUGGGAAGGAACCUAUCCAGCAGCAAACAGCACUCACACCCACUGAUUUUGCUGUGUUUUGAAAAAGUUGUCAUUUGCAAUUGCAUUUAUUUUUGUUCUCUGCCAAAGCAGAGGGCUUGCUUCGGUUCAGCUGCUCUGCUACCUUCAUCAGUGGGGGGUCAUUCAUUUUCAGGUUCAUGGAGCACCUACAUCCCCUUCUCGUUUAGGAGAAGGUAGGAAGCUCCAAAGGGACAUCUCAUUCUUCAUCCUCGCUCUAUAAAUAAGCUGUUACCCUUCUGUUGUUCAUCACAAGCACAUAUUUACUAAUGCAUGACUAUGCAGAUCCAAAUCACCAUGAAAGCCCUCAGAACUUGCAUUCUGCUAUUUAUCACUCGUAAGAGAGAGUGGCAAGCUUCUUAAAUUUCCCAAACGUUGAAUUGCACUGUGUGUGGUGGGGUUCCCCAUUGUACUGUCACUGCAGCAGUGCAAUGACAUACCAGCACAAAAUGGGAUUUAGAGGAGCAGGAAAAGCAUGAGAGAAAACAAAUGCCAGAAGCAAAACAGGUGAGAAGCAGCCAAAACACAAGAUAAAACAAUUUUCAAUCUAAAGGUGUUAAAAGCAGGUUUUACUCAAGACAGAACACUUGGUUUAAAAAGCUGAAGAACAAAACAUCUUCAAAUUUCAUGACAAACUAAAAACCAAAAAAUGUUAUAGCGCUGCUUUAUAGUCUGGCUUAAUACCAUAUUAACUGCACGGGGAGACAGACUUGCCAAAAACUUGCUUGUCCCACAAAUCCUGUGGGAUUUUGUUCUGUGAUCCCUUUUCUUGUGAGGACUAGGGAAGGAUGAGGAGCUGUUCCCAUGUGGGGUCAGGAGGUCGCAUCUGCUGCACCCCAAUGUCCCUGCCUACAGGCAUGCACUGGCUGGAAGUGCACCUGGUGAGCUUGUUUCCUAUAAGGGUUGAGCAAUUCAUUGACUGAAUAUGUUAUUUAAUGAAAGGGAUAAUCAAUGAGUAAUUUAGAGGCGAGCACCACAUCGGCUCUAUUUGUUGCACGCUAUUGAAUUGUACAACACGGUUUCUAAUGGGUAUUUUUGUGCCUCUUUUGGUUGAAAACAUGACUGAGAGUUUGGGCUAUAACUUACAGUUUAAUUGACUUCUAAAGAAGUGAAGAAGUUGUUGGUGCUUUAACAGAAGGAGUUCAGUGCUCUUUGUUCCAACCUGAUGGGAGUACAUGAACUGUUUGAGGCAGGUAAUGAAUCCAGACCCUUCAUUGGAAAAUCUCAUUACCUGAGAACUGCUGGGGAUAAGCAGGCAAUACAAUAAGAAGAGAGAUACUUCUGCAUCAAUUUUUAUCCUUCAGGCUACACUGCAAGCUGCAGCUGCAGCCUAUUGUCUGGAAAAUGUCAGGAAGUGGUAAAACACUGGGGAAGAACUGAUGGGCACGGAGGCAGCUGCCAGCAGAGCCUGGAGGCUCAGGGUGAGAAUAUCUUCAGGGGAAUGCAGCACAGGAUGGGGAAAAGGACUCACGGUGGAAGGCAAGGUUUGCAAGGAACCAGGGCUGCAUCUCUGCUGGGUUUGCUCUUCUGUUCAUAUUCAUGUGCAACCAGCAUACAAGGAAAAUAGAGCACGAAAUUACAUUUAUAUGUAUACCAAUAAGGUUAUACUUGCCCAGAAACAUAUAUGCAUAUGAUCUGGAUCCAGUUCUCUAAAGGACGUAUACUAUUAUUUUGUAAUGCAUAGCUGAGUCAGCGGCCUCUGAGUGUAUUUAUUAUGCUAUUGAAUUGCUUUCCAUGGUAACUAAUUGUGAUUUCAGAAACACAGGUUCUGCAAUGGCACAAGAUGAAAUAGAGUUGAAUAUGGAAGCAGCUGAUAUUUCUAAACAUCAUGUUGAAUGCACCCCCGUGUAACUCCAGAUCCAAGUUUAUGCUGAUGUAACUCCUCUAACAAAAGGAUGAACUUUAGUGAUGAUGGUCAGUGAAGUUGUCUUUAAACAGCUCUUUGUUCUACUGUACGGGCAUAUGAUGGGGAAAAAAAAGAAAGCUACAUUUCACUGGAGCUCUCUGGCACAACUGCAGGCAGCAUUCUAACUUUCACGGAGCAACUGGCACAGGGAGGCACUUAUGUGACAUGUUUAAAACUUAUCUUUGGUAAACACACAUGGAAAUUUGCAACACUUCCUGAACAUAAGAGAAAUCUUCAUUUGCUACUGGUGUAUGAGUGCAGAUACCAGUGACUCAAUCUGAAGCUCACUUACCAAAAAAACUGUUGUGAUGACUAAACUGCAGCAAAAGCAGGCAAGGUAAGGAGCGAACAGUCCAUCUAUUAACCAUCUUUGUAACUGUCUCUCCUCUUCAAAUGCCAGAGAGGGAGGGAUGAGCUAUGCAGAGCAUCACUGCAGUCCCAGAUUUAGGCUGCUUUUUGAAGAUUAAAGGCAUUACAAUGUUCAGGCUCUCCUCAGAAACUUUAUCAAAGGAGUUUCCUCCCCUCUUCUACACCAAAAGAGACCCAACAAGUCAUAGAGUGAUCCCACGAGCCUCUCUGGUGGGAUGGCCCUGCCCAUGAGCGCAUUGGAGGAAUGCACCAGGCUUGAGGUCAGGUCUGUUUUGAGGGAGUUCCAACACAACAUGCACAGUACAUUGGACAGAAUUCUUUCUUUUACUGAAUGUACCAGAAGAUGCUGUACCUUGCUGGAAGUUGUACUUAGUUGAUUCAAUCAAUGAAAUGCAUUUUUUGUUUUCUUAAUCAGUACUGAGCCAUUCAUGCAUUGAGGCCGAUUUUUGAUAGUGUGUACUGUAGCACAAGGCACUUGGAGAGGCUUCCACGGGGUGAGCCAGAAAGCCAAAGACAAAUGUGCUUAUGUUCUAUAAAGACCUUUCAGCAUCCCCCCUGCUCUACUCUGCAUAUUUUAUAAAAGUAUUUGCUAUUAAGCAAUCACCCUGUUUCGCUCCAGAGCUAUUUUCGUUUUAUGGCAGAAAACACGAACUCUGUGCUGUCUCCCUGUUGAUUUGCUGAGCAUCUCAGGGUCCCUUGGAAUACAGGCUGUUUAUGACUGCUGCAGUAAAUUCCGAGCUUAAAUUGAGUUGGAAGAAACUCCUCCGUCCUGAACCUGGUUUGUCUGGCACCCUCCAAAGAACAUGUCUCACCUAACUUGUAAGGUAGGAUAUGGGUCCUGUUCAAAGAUUACUGUAUCUCCAUUUGUUUUUAUUGCUAUUUGUCAACAUAUAAAUUUAAUGCAUAUUUUUAUGAAUUAAUUUCCACAGUUAUAUUAGAAAGCUGUUCUCUGACUACAUAAUGCAGUAGUGGGAUUUCUUUUUAAUGUUCUUUUCCCAAUUUUAUGAGUUACACUGUAAGACUGGGGGAAAUACAUGAAUUAUUUAUUAACUUAAAGCACUUGCUGUACAAAAAUUAUUCUUAAUGUUGCAUCAGUAAGAGCUUGCAUUCCCCUAGAAAAUCACUUUUUGAUAACUGAAAUGUUUUCCAGAGUUAUGUGAUAAAGUAGAAACUACAUACAACAGCAGGCAAAGGAUUAUGGCUGCAGCAGCAGCACCUGGAAACUGCUGCUCUUCCAUGGUGAAGGCAGAAUGAAAAGUCUCUGUUGACACUAUUAUUAAAAUGCAGAGAGAGAAUAAAACGAUGAUAAACCAAAGAAAAAGGCUUGAGCCCUGCAGCAAAGAUGUGUGUAUUCAUGACUUUUCCAUCACUAUCAAUAAUGCAUAACAACCAUCAUGUAGAUGACGACACCAACUUUUGAGACAGGCUGAGUCAAGCUUUCUAUCACUAAAUGUGAAAAAACAUUCAACACAACAUUUGAUGUCAAAAAGCUAGGACCUGCUAGAUAAGCAAAGAUCCAGUAGAAAGGGUAAUGGAGAAGAAAAUCAGCUGACGCUGACAUAAAUCGACAUCUGUUGUACCAGUUUGUAGUGUUCUAUGGAGGAAAACUUUUUUUGUUGUUAAUAGGUACUGAAAUAAACAGUUUUUAGGGCUACAAAAUUAUCUCAUUUAGGAAAAGAAGGAUGUGCUAAUUCUUCUGUGAGUGCUCAUGCAACAGGAAGAAACUACAUUGAAUAUUAUGUUCAAAUUUUACAGCUAUGUCCUUUCUUUAGUUAAUGCACUCUAAUUCUGCAUAGGAGAGGACAAUAUGUACAUUGCUAAUUCCCUAUGGUAUCUUAGAUUCUGGACUGAUGCUCAGAAUAAUCAUUUUUGCAUAAAGGUCAUGGUGACAAAGGAAGAAAGCAAGUCUGUGACUUACAUAUCUAUAUAUCUCUUUAUAAAUAACAUUUGAAUUGGCAUGAAUUCAGUUCUCACACCAGAAAUUCCUCUGGUGUAAAUAGGAGAAGAAUUGGCUCAGUAUGUGUGUGGUUGGGCAUAUGACCUGAAGAAGAAAACUCCGGGCUCUCUUCUACUGUGUACAGUCCUACCGAACCAUUCUUACUCCAGGUUACCUAUGCUUUGACGAUCAAAUUUGGUUUGGAGUUUGCCUGCAAAUCUUGUAACUGUUCCUGGGCUUCAUCCUGUACCAUUAAAACCAGUUAAUGGGAGUCAUACAUGUAAGAUGUAUGCUUGUGUAUCUUAUAUAUGUCUUAUAUCCAUAAGACAAAUACUCUCCCCAUAAGGAGGUGGCUAUCAACUGUUGACAUUUCCACCCGGUGCUGUGCCCUAGUGCUGGUGGCACAGACCAGGCCCAUCCCAAUUCCCAUGCAGGAGAUGAACAGCCAUGGCUGAUGGAGCUGAUCAUAGAAGCUGAGAGCCAGGGAAGCUGUGAAACCAACCUGGAUUAGGAAUGUUUGGAAAAUCAGGUAGAAUUUCAUUCCUUCAAGCAGUGCUAAUUAAUGAAUUAAUUUCCACUGCCAGCCUAAUGCUGUGUAAUUUAUUCUUCAAAAUAACUCCACUGAAUGUGAUUUCAAUGUGAUCUUUCAAGGAGUUUCAUCCACUUAUCUUCCUUAGAGCGGAUUCACAAAUUACCGGAG